rnacentral:rRNA from 1 species
UGCGUAGGCGGCUUAGUCAGUCAGGGGUGAAAGUUCUGGGCUUAACCGAGGAAUUGCCUUUGAUACUGCUAAGCUUGAAUCAGGUUGAGGUAGGCGGAAUGUGGCAUGUAGCGGUGAAAUGCUUAGAUAUGCCAUAGAACACCAAUUGCGAAGGCAGCUUACUGGACCUGCAUUGACGCUGAGGCACGAAAGCGUGGGGAGCGAACAGGAUUAGAUACCCUGGUAGUCC